rnacentral:rRNA from 1 species
GCUACGGGGAGCUGCAGUGGGGAAUAUUGCACAAUGGGGGAAACCCUGAUGCAGCGACGCCGCGUGAGUGAAGAAGUAAUUCGUUACGUAAAGCUCUAUCAGCAGGGAAGAAAAUGACGGUACCUGAGUAAGAAGCCCAGGCUAACUACGUGCCAGAAGACGCGGUAAUACGUAGGGGGCAAGCGUGAUCCGGAUGUACGGGGUGUAAAGGGAGCGUAGACGGUGCGCGAAGUCUGGCGUGAAAUGCCGCAGCUUAACUGCGGCACUGCUUUGGAAACUGGCGAACUAGAGUGCGGGCGGGGUAAGCGGAAUUCCUAGUGUAGCGGUGACAUGCGUAGAUAUUAGGCGGAACACCGGUGGCGAAGGCGGCUUACUGGACCGUAACUGACGUUGAGGCUCGAAAGCGUGGGGAGCAAACAGGAUUAGAUACCCUAGUAGUC